UGCAGUCGAGCGAGAAAAGGGGGGCAACUCCCUGAGUAAAGCGGCGCACGGGUGAGUAACACGUGGGUAAUCUGCCCUGGAGUGGGGAAUAACACCGGGAAACCGGUGCUAAUACCGCAUACGAUCACGAGGUCUGCGGACUUUGUGAUGAAAGGAGCAAUUCGCUCUAGGAGGAGCCCGCGGCUGAUUAGCUAGUUGGCGAGGUAAUGGCUCACCAAGGCUACGAUCAGUAUCCGGUCUGAGAGGACGGUCGGACAUACUGGAACUGAGACACGGUCCAGACUCCUACGGGAGGCAGCAGUGGGGAAUUUUUCGCAAUGGGGGCAACCCUGACGAAGCAACGCCGCGUGGGUGAUGAAGUAUCUCGGUACGUAAAACCCUCUCGACGGGGAAGAAAACCGCAAGGUUUGACGGUACCCGUAGAAGAAGCCCCGGCUAACUCCGUGCCAGCAGCCGCGGUAAUACGGGGGGGGCGAGCGUUGUUCGGAAUUACUGGGCGUAAAGGGUGCGUAGGCGGUCCGCUAAGUUAGAUGUGAAAACUCUGGGCUCAACCCAGAGCCUGCAUCUAAUACUGACGGGCUAGAGUUCUGGAGGGGAUAGCGGAAUUCCUGGUGUAGCGGAGAAAUGCGUAGAUAUCAGGAGGAACACCGGUGGCGAAGGCGGCUAUCUGGACAGAGUCUGACGCUGAGGCACGAAAGCUAGGGGAGCAAACAGGAUUAGAUACCCUGGUAGUCCUAGCCCUAAACGAUGGAUACUUGGUGUAGCUGGGAUUGAAUCCAGCUGUGCCGAAGCUAACGCAUUAAGUAUCCCGCCUGGGGAGUACGGUCGCAAGGCUGACUCAAGGAAUUGACGGGGGCCCGCACAAGCGGUGAGUAUGGGUU
rnacentral:rRNA from 1 species